GAGUUUGAUUCUGGCUCAGGAUGAACGCUAGCGGCAGGCCUAACACAUGCAAGUCGAGGGGCAGCACGAUUGAGCUUGCUCAAUUGGUGGCGACCGGCGCACGGGUGCGUAACGCGUAUGCAACCUACCCUGUACUGGGGUAUAGCCCGAAGAAAUUCGGAUUAAUCCCCCAUAGUAUAUUUCAUUCGCAUGUUUGGAAUAUUAAAGGUUACGGUACAGGAUGGGCAUGCGUCCCAUUAGCUAGAUGGUGAGGUAACGGCUCACCAUGGCGACGAUGGGUAGGGGGCCUGAGAGGGUGGUCCCCCACACUGGUACUGAGACACGGACCAGACUCCUACGGGAGGCAGCAGUGAGGAAUAUUGGUCAAUGGGCGCAAGCCUGAACCAGCCAUGCCGCGUGCAGGAAGACGGUCCUAUGGAUUGUAAACUGCUUUUAUUUGGGAAUAAACCUAUCUACGUGUAGAUAGCUGAAGGUACCAAAUGAAUAAGCACCGGCUAACUCCGUGCCAGCAGCCGCGGUAAUACGGAGGGUGCAAGCGUUAUCCGGAAUCAUUGGGUUUAAAGGGUCCGCAGGCGGGUUUAUAAAGUCAGUGGUGAAAG
rnacentral:rRNA from 1 species